CUUCUCAAACAAGCGCGAGCAGAAAACUCGGCACGUUAACUUUCCUCCGGAACGUGACUCGACGGACCUCUGAGAUAUUUUCCAUUCGACCGGGUGAAUGGCGGGCAAGAAGAAAGAGGCGAGUCUCCAGGCCUCCGUCACAAACCAAGAGCAGUGGGAGGAGAUGCUUGCGACCAAAGGUUUAACAGUUGUAGACGUGUACCAGCAGUGGUGUGGUCCCUGUCGAGCAGUGGUCAGUCUCCUGCGCAAAAUAAAGAACGAGCUGAGUGAUGAUCUGUUGCAUUUUGCCACGGCCGAGGCAGACGGCAUCGACGCCUUGGAGAAGUACCGAGGGAAAUGUGAGCCCACCUUCCUCUUCUAUGGGGGAGGGGAAAUGGUGGCUGUGCUGCGAGGGGCCAACGCUCCUCUCCUACAGAGGAUGAUUGUGGAGGAACUGGCCCACGAGAAGUCGGUUCUGGAGCGCGGUGGUGAACGCAAAACGGUUAAAGAUGAUGGUCUGAAGGAUGCUGAGGAGAAGGACGAGGAGGAGUCACCGCAGCAGUCAGAAAAUGACGAAAGCUUAAUUGUUCCCGCCAGUAAAUCCUACACAGUUGCCAUCAUCAAACCAGAUGCUGUUGCUCACGGCAAAGCAAAUGAGAUCAUUAUGAAGAUUCAAGAUGCUGGGUUUGAGAUCCUGGCCCACGAGGAACGCACCCUGACUGAGGUUGAGGCUCAAGACUUUUACCGACACAGAGCAGAAGAGGCUGGCUUUGAAGACUUGGUGCAGUUUAUGUCCAGCGGUCCGUCCCAUGUUCUGGUGCUCUCUCGGGUCGAGGGCUCGGCUGGUGUUGUGCCAGCGUGGCGAGAGCUGAUUGGCCCAACUGACAUAGAGGAAGCUAGGAGAGAUAAACCACAAAGCUUGCGGGCACAAUACGGCACGCAGACGCUGUUCAACGCGGUGCACGGUAGUGAGGACACGGACCAGGCCAGCAGGGAGCUGGCCUUCUUUUUCCCAAACUUCAGGACGGCCUCAGUGACGGAGCAGGAUGGGGAGGAAGAGCGUGUGGAGAGGACACUGGCUCUCAUCCGGCCUGACGUUGCCAGAGAUAACAGAGAGGAGAUCUUGGCUCAAAUCCACAGGUCAGGCUUCACCGUGGCGCUCAAACGGGAGGUGAUGUUGACAGAGGAGCAGGUCAAACAAUUUUACUUCCAACAUGUUGAGGAGGACUACUUCCCUGCUUUGCUCCAGAGCAUGACCAGUGGGCCAGUGUUGGCUUUGGCUCUGGCCAAAAGGGGGGCCGUGCAUCACUGGAAGAACAUCCUUGGUCCCGCUGAUGUUAAUAAAGCCAGAGAGGAGAGUCCUGAAUGUCUGAGGGCCCAGUUUGCUGUGGAGAACGAGCCGAUCAACCAGCUGCAUGGCAGCGAAAGUCACAAAGAGGCCAAACGAGAGAUCGACUUCUUCUUCCCUAAACAGCGCACGCUGGCAGUGAUCAAACCCGAUGCCAUGAAUCAGCACGGAGGUUCUUCUCCUGAAAAUAUUUUGGAGGAGAUCCGAGGCAGCGGUUUCUCCGUAACGCAGCUGAAGGAGAUGGUGCUGUCGAGGGAGAUGGCCGAGCAGUUUUACAAGGAGCACCGAGAGAAGCCUUUCUUCGGCCAACUGGUGGAAUUCAUGUGUCGGGGCCCCUGUAUGAUGCUCGUACUGACCAAGGAAAACGCAGUGGAGGACUGGAGGGCCGCCAUGGGCCCUUCAGACCCUGAUCAAGCUAAGACGAUAUCCCCAAACUCCCUGAGAGCCCGCUUUGCCUCCGACAUCCUCCACAACGCCGUGCACGGCUCCUCCGAUGAGCAGCACGCAGAGGAAAAGAUCCGUUUCAUCUUUGGUGACAUCUGCACGGAGCUCGCCGGUGAUGGAGAGACUGACACAUCCAGUUUGGGUAAUCACAUGAUAAAAAGAGACAGACGAUUCUGCAAAUGAAGACACAAGAAACUCAAGAUGUUCAACUGGAGAAAUGUCUGACAACCUUCCCGAAGGUGAAACCACGAACUUGAAUCUGCGCAGCCCGCCGGCAGGAGGUGACAACACGCAAACUGAAUCGGCGGUCUUAGCACAGUAGUUUCUUUUGUAUCGUGGGCUCAUUCUCUAACAUUAGGGGAACAAUCCAUCACUCCACGAAUCAGGAAAUCGACAAGACACGUGUUUCGUAGACAUGCAUGUGGAAGAUCAAUAGCCAGUUAGAGGGAGUACUUGCAGACUGGCGUCCUUUUAAAUAGUGCUGACUGUCACUGACCGUUUAUAGACAUUCUUGACACAGCAGCUGUAAGCUUUACAACCAAGACAAGGAUCCCACAGAGCAACUCAUCAACACAGAAGUAUUCAGCCUAAUCCAAAGUGUUCAAUCAUCCUCGGUUUGCCUACAAUAAAGUGUUAACAAUUUUAACUUCUACAUGA